GAGUUUGAUCCUGGCUCAGGACGAACGCUGGCGGCAUGCCUAACACAUGCAAGUCGAACGGAGUAUGAGAGCAGAAGGUUUCGGCUGGAAGUUUGAAAUACUUAGUGGCGGACGGGUGAGUAACGCGUGGGUAACGUACCUAUCAGAGGGGAAUAACAAUGAGAAAUCAGUGCUAAUACCGCAUAAGGUUCAGUCAUCGCAUGAUGGCAGAAGGAAAGGUGGCGGACUUGAGAGAGGCUAUCGCUGAUAGAGCGACCCGCGUCUGAUUAGCUAGUUGGUGGGGUAAAGGCCUACCAAGGCGACGAUCAGUAGCCGGCCUGAGAGGGUGGACGGCCACAUUGGGACUGAGACACGGCCCAAACUCCUACGGGAGGCAGCAGUGGGGAAUCUUCCGCAAUGGGCGCAAGCCUGACGGAGCAAUGCCGCGUGAACGAAGAAGGUCUUCGGAUUGUAAAGUUCUGUCCUUAUCGAAGAGAGGGUAUAGAGUGAAAAAUGAUAUACUAGGACGGUAGAUGAGGAGGAAGCCCCGGCUAACUAAGUGCCAGCAGCCGCGGUAAUACGUAGGGGGUGAGCGUUGUCCGGAAUCACUGGGCGUAAAGGGCGCGUAGGCGGUAAUAUAAGUCAGAUGUGAAAGGUGGGGGCUCAACCCCUAGAGUGCAACUGAUACUGUAUAACUUGAGUG
rnacentral:rRNA from 1 species